rnacentral:rRNA from 2 species
AAAUUGAAGAGUUUGAUCAUGGCUCAGAUUGAACGCUGGCGGCAGGCCUAACACAUGCAAGUCGAACGGUAACAGGAAGAAGCUUGCUUCUUUGCUGACGAGUGGCGGACGGGUGAGUAAUGUCUGGGAAACUGCCUGAUGGAGGGGGAUAACUACUGGAAACGGUAGCUAAUACCGCAUAACGUCGCAAGACCAAAGAGGGGGACCUUCGGGCCUCUUGCCAUCGGA